UUUUUCACUUUUAAAAUAGUGAACGUAGCCUGUAGAUGUUUUUUAAGUUGAAUUUUGCUGAACCGUGCUUGGAGGAAGAAUGGUAUGCAAUUAAAAUAAACAAUAUACUUUUAAAACUGGUGAAACACAGAAAUGAAGCUUGGCAAAGCACGUUUUGCAUUUCUAAGUGAUUGAGUAAAAGGCAAUGAACGUGACAGAUUCUGGUCACAACAGGACGAUGACGCCUUUCAUCAGGUGCCCAGGGCCACGGAGAGGAUUUCCAGAAGUCGCUUGCGAGAGACCAAGCUUUAGUACCUGCUUCUGAAAUGGUUUGUGUGGCUUUUUUUUACUCUGAAAUUAUAGAAUUUGUAGUUCUCACCCUUCCAUGGCAGGCUCAGAUUUGCUGGAUGAGCAAGGACGGGAAGACUCCGUGGUUUCCCGGUUCCUCCGGAGCUGGGCUGGGGGAAGACCGCCUUGCCCUGCACUCGGUGGCUGGGCUGGAGACCGGUGGCAUUGGGAGAUGAGCUUUCUGCGCGACAGAAUGUGCAGGUAUUUACAGCAAAGCGUAUUAAUUCGUCCUUUGUUCCAGUCUGAAGACUGGCAUGGCGCUUUAGUGUGGGACGCAAUGCGCUUAAGUAACCGGUAAUGCAUUAAAAAUGUGUUAACAUUUAAUUAAUUAAUUAAAUGUGGUAACACAUUAAAAACCCCACAUCCCCGAAACCGUGACGACCGAGGAGCAAAGGCAGCGUAUCUCUCUUUGUUUAGGUAAUAGAUGACACUUAAGUUUUUGCCUUGGUCCGUGCUGUCGCCUUCGACUUUAAAACCGGUUAUUUUUUAAAAACGACGCGUGAAUGUUUGACGGAGAUCACCCGAAGUUGGCCCGUUUUUAAAAUCUGGUUGUCGGUGACCCGAGAGAAGCCAGCGAUGGCGGGGGGUUGGUUGCUGUCGUGCUGUAGGUGAGAUCUCCUCCUUUCUCCCUCGCCCCCGGCGGCAGGUCGGACGUUUGCUGGUGCGCGGGGAGAUCCGGUGUCGUGUGGCGCUUCGUGUGUGCAGGGAAGGGCCCUUCAGACCUCCUCUCCGGGGCUUCCCAGCGACUGCAGGAGCCAGUCGUAUCUCCACAUCUCUCACCCCUGAGGACCCCUCUCGUGUGAGCUAGAUAUAAGCCGUUUCAGAGAUGUGUCUGAAAAUCAACAGUCCUGGAAAAGAGUGAACAAGUUCCCUCUGGCUCCAGAUGAGCGUCUCCAGGAGCCUGUGAGGGGCUCUGGGGAGGACCGGCAACACCAGCCCCACCCCAGUGCCAGAGUUUUCUUCUGGGGGAGAAGAACAAUUGCAUUUCGUUUGAAAUGCUCUGAGGAAAUGGGUAACUCUCAUUAGAAUUAAAAUCAGAUUUUUUUAGAGGUGGUGGAAAGUCUCGUGUAGUUUUAACCUUAUCUAAACCAAAACAUUGAGUUUGGUUAGGUGUCUCCAAAGCCACGCUUCUGAGAGCGCAUUCAACAAAAUGCUUAAAGAUUUUAUUUCUGUCCCAAAGGUGAAAGAAAACAACUUCAAAAUGUCAGAAAUGCUGUUACCUGACGAGAUCUAUUUUUUGUAAGGUCAAGAAAAAAUGAUGGAUGCGGUAACAAGUGUUAGUGCUGUUACCUUUUAAAAUAUAUAGGUGAUGCUCAAGUUCAUAAACGUCGCGCGUGCCUUUCAGAGGCUAAAAUAUAGCAGCAGGAGGCAGGAGUCCUUGGUCUGUUCCUCCUUGUUUCUUCUGAAAUCAAUUUUUGUUUUAAGUUCUUCUGGUGUAAAUAAUUUUAAUGAAAAGGAGACAAUUGCUAGGUGGAGUUUAUCGCCUGGAAUGUAUAGGCUUAGAUGGUUCCUUGAAAUACAGAAGACGGGUGAGCAGGGCUCUUGAGUGCCCUGGAGAAAUAGUGCCCAACCCUUUAAAAAGAAAAUUUUGAAAAAAAAAAAAAAAUAAAAAAAAAAUUGGUUGUCAUCCUGCAAGUAGGCUGCCCUGGCACGGCUGGGAGCGAGCGGGGGGGGUUCUGGUUGUUUCUCAAAACGGUCCCCCCAGGAGGUGGAAGCCUGUGUGUGUGUGGAGGGGACGGGCAAUAAGGGGACCUGGGCAAGGCGAUGGGCCAUCCCCUGGGCAUGUCCGAGUAUUACAGUCCUGCUCCAUGGAGUGUUUGUGGCUGGCUGUAAGCUGAUCCGAUUCCUUACGCGGAUCAGGUUGACUGUUCGAAGGAAUUUCUUCUAUAAAGCGUCUUUCUAGUGGGUACGCGUGCAACAGUGCUUUUGGUGAUCUCAGGGUGAUACGUCCAACUCCUGCCCUACACAGCAGGGACCGAGUUCGUUGUCAGACAUGGUGUCGCCGCGGAAAGCGAGGAUCUGAGCUGGUACGGUAUUCACAGAAUCAUAGAAUCAUAGGGUUGGAAGGACCCUCUGGAGAUCACCCUGUCCACCCCCUGCCAGAGCAGGGUCACCCACAGCAGGUGGCACAGGAACGCGUCCAGGCGGGUUUGGGAUGUCUCCAGAGACGGAGACUCCCCCACCUCUCUGGGCAGCCUGUGCCAGGGUCCGCCACCCUCAGGGGAAAGAAGUUCCUCCUCGUGUUGAGAUGGAACUUCCCAUGUCCCAGUUUGUGCCCGUUACCUCUUGUCCCAUCACUGGGCACCACUGAGAAGAGUCUGGCCCCAUCCUCCUGACACCCCCCCUUUCAGUAUUUAUAAGUGUUGAUAAGUAUUGCUGUUGCCUGCCCUUGUGGGCAGGGGGGACAAUCCUGUCCCAGCCCCAGGACUGGCUGAAAUUAGAGACUGCUUUUCUUCUCUGAACUCAUAACUUAACAGCACCCGAUGGUGUCAUCUGCUGGCCAGGCCGGAGCUGCUGUGAGCUGGGGCAGAGGUGUGAACAUCCAGCUUUGCUCCGGCUCCUCCCUUGGUGACAAGGGGAACCUGAGCCUGUGUCCUGUGAGGACCAGGCUGCUCCUGCCCUGUCUUAACCUUCUCUCUUGUGCUCACGCUUGCUCUGUCUCCUGUUUUCUCCCUUCUCUGCAGCUCUGGUACACAUAUGGAGCCCCUCUGCUGGGAGGACAGGCUGGAGAGCUGGGGGGGCUCAUCCUGGAGAAGAGAAGGCUCCGGGGAGACCUUCCACUCCCUAAAGGGGGCCUACAGGAGAGAUGGGGAGGGACUAUUUAUGAGGGAGUGUAAUGGUAGGACGAAGGGGAAGGGUUUUGCACUGGCCGAGGGGAGACUGAGAUGAGAUCUCAGGCAGAAAUUCCUGGCUGUGAGGGGGGUGAGCCCCUGGCCCAGGGUGCCCAGAGAAGCUGUGGCUGCCCCAUCCCUGGAGGGGUUCAAGGCCAGGUUGGACGGGGCUUGGAGCAACCUGGGCUGGUGGGAGGUGUCCCUGCCCAGGGCAGGGGGUGGCGCUGGGGGGGCUUUAAGGUCCCUUCCAAUGUAAACCGUUCUGUGAUACAUAGGUUUGAAGGAAAACCAUAGAGAAGAGGAAACACUUGAGUUAGGUAGGGACCACCUGGGUCCCAGCUUAUCUCCUUCCAGGAGACUGUUGCGUGCAGGAAUGCGUGUGUCUGCAGAGCUUUGUGCUGUCAAAAAGAUCUUUGUGCUUUUCGUCUUUACCGCUGGGGUAUCCUCUGCGGUAGUGGUUGAAAAUGGAGCUUGCGCGUCUCCUGCCCCGCUGCCCCUCAGCUUCAUUGUGGUCCCGUGGAGGAUCCUCACGCUCCUGCUCCUCCACUUGCGGGGGCUGGCACAGGUGCAGCUCCCAGCCCCGGUCAUUGCCCCAGUCAUUUGAGUUGCCUGCUCUGCUCCUCUCCCUGUCGCCUCCGCGGGGUUUUGGCACAACGCUGCCCAGGGCUGCGGCGACCAGCCUGUUCUCGGCCAUGUUUCCACUCGUGCCUCUGCCAUCGGCGGUGACCGUCCCCGGGGCCGCGCGGCAGCAAACGGGAACCUCUCCGCUGGCUCGGGCGGGCGUUGGAGGGGGUCCGUAAUGCUUUGCAGACCAAUUUUCUCUCCGUUAUUGUUUUAAACUCCCCGUUAGCCGUUCCUGCUUCCCAGGUUUCCGCGUGUUUCAAAUUAUUUUCCCCAGAGGCAUCGACAGCAUUUUUUCAAAUUGAAUCUCAUUUAUUUUCUACCCAGGUUUCCAAUCUCUCUGGGGCCCUUUGUAUUAUUUCUCCGUCCGCACUGCCGUGUACAAUAUAUCCUAAUUUAGUAUCGUCUGUGAAUUAUAUUACCAUGCCCUUUAGUUCCUCUUCUAUUUAAUGAAGAUAUUUUCAAGGAAAAAAAAAUAAAUCUAUGUUUUAUUAAAAAAGAAGGUAGAGCCUUAAAAACUCCUUUUUGGGUUUCCAAUAUGAACUCUAAAUCUUUUUCGAAGAAAUCUUCAGCUUUUUAAAGAGAAAUUAAAACCUUCAAAAUAUCACAGUCGGUAGAUGUAAAAAUUAAUCAGUUUUUCAAUUAUCUGAGACCUCUGUCCCCAUACAGCGAGCUCUGCACAGUGCGGUCUCCAAGGGUGACGGAGAUGCCAUCUAUGUAUUUGCAGCAGAUAUUUUUUUUUUUUUAAACCAGCACCAAACAUAUGUUUGAAUUUCUCAAUAAAUUUGUUCGCUUUCCCUUCCUGACCCUUUUGGGUUUGCUCUCUGUGGCUGUUCUAGCAAACAUGUACACUGGCAGGAAUGAUGCUGAAGCAGCACGUUUUAAUGCAAACUGUGCCGGCUUAUUCGUAGGAAGUGAUUUUCAAAUUCAUAAUCAUGAAUAUUUGCACUGCAAGGUUGAUUCUGCUGCGAGCUUUUUAUUUAUAAGCUCAGAAGCGCUGCCUGUUGGUGCCAGGCUGCGAGAGCGUCGUGCCUCCGUGGCGGGGAGCGAGCCGGGCCGUGGACGCUGCGUGUCCUAUCCAAACAGCUCCCAUUUCUGACUGCGAACAGGGAGAUCGCAUCGGCAGCAGGCAAUUUGCCGGGGAUACGUAUCCUGAAAUAUUUGCUGCAUAAUUUCUAGCAAUGAGCAAUUUCAUGGAGACUAUGAUCUGCUUGUGAAGAGAAAUAAGGUGUAAAUUGGAUGAAUAAAUUGUUCUCUGCAGAUGGCUUGCUCGCUCUGGAGGACCACUCUCCUCUCGGAGAAGCGCUGCUGGUGUCCGCGGUCCUCUGGGUCUCUUGACCCCGCGUGGAAACUGGUGCUGGGGAGGGACGUCUCAAACUCCGUGAACUUGGGCGCUCACCCAAGAGCCCCUCUGGGGCAGUGUGACCCCCCGGGACCUGCACCCCCGGGGAGGAGGUAGCCACGCUGAGCAGGGCUGCGGACGUUGCCGUGGUCAAUCAGAGGGUCCAUCAGCCGCUGGGAAAACUGCUCUGUUUUAUCCUGGGCAGCCCGGGAGCCACAGGGAUACGUGCGAACGGGGAUGGGUGGUGCUGGGCGUCUUCCCUGCCCCUGGGGGGUGCGGGGGGGCUGGUGUUGGAGCCUGCGAGCUCUCCCCCGGCGUCUUGGCUAACGGGCUUCGCUGCCUGCCUUUCUCCGUCCCCUUUGGGUUGGCGUUGCUUCCUUUCGGCGUUACAGGAUGAGCCUUGCUCUCUGCGGAUGUAGGGGCUUCCCCGGGGAGGAGGAAUCCCGGGCGCCUGGGGCUGUGCCACCAGCCUCCCCUCCACCGCCCCGGGACGGGGAUGCUCCGAUGCCGCCGUGCUGGUGUAGCACCAGCUGCAGGGAAUUAGAGGAGCCUUGGGGCUAUUCUGGGAAACACCAAGGGAGAUUCCCGAGGUUUCCGGAGCAGAGAGCUGGCUCGGAGCUGCCUGCCUCCAUGCCGGGCAGGGCUGAUGUGGAGCUGGGCACCGAGCCCCGCCAAGAGAAGGAUCCCGCCGGCAAAACAGCAGGAUCCCACGGAAGCGACAUGGCGUCGGGGACCGCUGAGACGAGCCGUGGUGGGUCUGGCCCCGGUGCUGGUGGGCCGCGGGGUCCAGCCAGGAUGGCCGGGACGUCCCUGGCAUGGCCCAGCGGCUGAUUCAGGAUGGGGUGUAGGAUGUCGCCUGCCCGUCGCCUGGGCCAGAGAAGAUCCCGCUGCUGCAUCGCCUCCGGGGGUUUCAACGGCACUAAAGGUAAAACCUUGCCCCAUUCACCAUGGCUUGUGGGAACUGUAGCCCUCGGGACUUUUCCGUCUCCGUUUCUGGCUCUCGGCUGCAGAGAGGUGCCUGGCUUUAAAAAAAUACCCAUUUGUCUUGUGAACAGGGACACGGCGCUGAGCAGAUGAGAGCCCGAUUGCUCAUCCCCUGUGCCAGUCCCAUGGAGCAAAACCCUUCCAGGAGCGGGUCUAAAAUCCACGUGUUGUGGAACGGUGGUGGCUGCACUGGGGCUCCCACACGAGGACGUCCGGGUGUGGAAAACGCCGGGCCCCGCUCUCUCCUCAGCAGCGUCAGGCCUGACGGAGUUGUGCUUCGUUUGUUCCACGUGAAGGUUCGGUCGGCUUUUGUCCCUGAAACCGCCUUCCCGUUGGGUCCUGGUGACGGCGGAGGCUGCGGCGUGGUGGCAGCUGCGUUACUCGGGCAAGUGUCUCGGGAGCGGCACGUCCUGGGGGACAGCGGUGGCUUCGUCCCGGGGGACAGCCCCGGGCCUGUCCUCCGUGGGCCAAACACCGACUUCUCUGACCGAGCGGCCUUUCCCCGCUUUAUCAAUAAUUUUAAUCGUUUUAAUAACGUCCCCUCGCAUGGAUAGGAUUACGAUUAGAAAAUGUCAGAGCCUUGUUAUCAUCUAAUUAGAGUCACAUUUCAGCGGAACAGAAAGGCAAAUCUUCAAGCGCCGCCGUGUGCAGUGAAAUGGGAAGAAAGUGAUGAUUUAAACCAGCUGGGGGCCGGGUCCCGCCUGCGACGCGGGGCACGGCGCGGGACCCGGCGAUGGUCCCCGGCCGCAGCCCUCCAGGCAAUCAGCGCGAACCGCUCCCAGGUCUCCUCUGCGGAGCGAAAAGCUCCGCCGCCGUCCAGGAAAAACAAUCAGGCUGUCAAGUUUGCCGUCUAACAGCUGAGGGGGUCAGAGCAGCAACACAACACAAACCAAAAUAAACACCACCUCGCUCUGCCAAAAAGCCUUUAUCACUCUUCUGGGAGAGAGGGAGGCGCUUUCAGAUGGCUUUAACUUUUUCCAUUUUUUUUGUUGUUUGUUUUUGUACGCUUAAAUGUGAGCGGGGAGCUGGGCUCUCUUCCCGCCCUCCUCCUGAUGCCAUGGCGGCAGGCGGAGGUGCCGGGGCUUUGUCCUGGGGAGAGCCUCUUUGUUUGCCUCUGGCGAGGAGGAGGUCGGCAGGCAGCGGGCGUGCGGCCCCUCAGCCCCUUGGGAGCUGCCGGGGGGGUUUGCUGUGCCUGAGCUCGUCCCCUGGCCUUCUCAGCACGUCCCAGAGCGCGUCCCCUCUGGGGAGGGGGAUGCAUGGCCGUGGCAGGGGCCAGGGCUCUGCCCCGAUGCCGGAGCAUCCGUGUCUGCGUGGGAUUUGCCUGGUGGAGGGGGGGCUCGGCUGCACCGAGUUAAUGACCCCGUGCGGCGGCAGCGCACCAGCGACGCUGCAAAAUGUUGUUCUGUGUACGAAUAAGGUUUCGCAAGCGCUGCGGCUGCUUGGUAGCCCGGCCGGCCGCAGGGAGGACUGCGCAGACACCGCGCGGAGCCCCGCCGGGAUGCUGCCGCCAGCCCGCCCGAGGAGGGGACGCCUGGCAGGGAAGCGGGGUGGCCGCCGGGGAGCCCUAAAACCUGGACCCACUGCAGCUGCGAGCCCGAGCCCCGUGGGACGAGCGGAGCUGCCUGCGCUUGGCCACAGGGUGCGGGGAGAAAGGUGGAGCAUUUCCCUCAAAAGCAGCUCCUGGCUGUGCAUCACCCACCCCGCACGGGCCGAAAAGCAGCAGCGUUUUGGUGUUUUGCUGGGGAAAGCAGCACCUUGGUUCCCCCACGGAUUUAGCAACCUCAACCCCUCUAAGAGCCUGGGCUUAAGCAUCCUCCCUGGGGCCAAAACGUCCCCCCCAGUGAUUCUUUGCCUCGGGGACCCCGUGGAAGGAGCAGGAGGACCGUGGCCACCUGCUUUCGUGGUGCUCAUCUGAGGCUCGCCAGCACCACGCCAGCGUUUCACGCCGGGAACACCUGCUGUGCCGAGGGGGCCAGACCCCGGCACCGACCAGCCCCACGUAAUAAAUAACAACAGUAAAAAUAGUUAUCGCCUAAAUAGCGCUUUACGUCCCCGGGAUGCUGUAAAACCCCGACUGCUUAAUCACAAGCCUCUCUCUUGAUGUUUACAGGGAACUGAGAUUUUUGCUCUCGGAGGAGAAUGUAUUUUCUGGUGCCAAGAGCUACAUGCGGCCGGAGCGGGAUGCGGGCACGGCGGAGGCAGGUGUGGCUCAGGUGUCCCAUCGGACAGUCCGAGGGUCUCGACGGCGGCCGGGGGCUGUUCCGGAGCCAACACCGGCCCUGCCUUCCCCGCGCCGCCGCUUUGCAGCCGCCUCCGAAACCCCUGACAUUUGGGGACUUGCUAUAUUUGAACAGGCGGAUGGUUCAGCCGCGGCCGGCAACGUGGCAGUGAUGGCUAUUGAGAGUGGCACCAGGCGGCCCCCGCCGCGCCGGGGGCCAGGGGUGGCAUUUCUGCCAGGCAGAGCUCCCCCCUUCCCAAUUAGGGACGCUGCUAAUUUUAAACGAGCUGCCGCCACCAAGUAGCAGCACUUGAAAAUCUCAUCCAGCCAAAGUGCCUGCGGAGAGAGCCGGGGGUCGAGGGGAAGGGGGAGAGCCCCGAGGGCGGCUCCCCCUGCGAGCCGGGACGGGCACAGCUGGGGCAGAGGAUUUUCUGCGGGUCAGUGUUUCCCAGAGCUUGGGGAAGGAGAGGGGUUUUUUCUUUAAUCAAAAUGAAAACCAUCUCUGAUUUCAUUCUAAAGCAUGCUAAAAGGUUUUAUUCGGCCUGAUGCAAAGCGUUGCAUUUCAUUUUGCGUUUUAAUUAAUUUUGUGAUCCUUUAAUUAGGCUGAUUUCAAAGAAAAAAUGUUUCUCUCAAAAAUGGAAGUCAAAACAUUUUGAAGAUCAUCUCUCUGCCUCUGAAACGCUGCUUAAAAGCAUUAGACGCUCUGCUCUCUUUCUAGAAACGCUGGUUGAUUCCUGCCUUGACAGAGUUCCCAAACGCUUUGGGAGUUCAACCGAAGCAGUGCUUUGAAAAGGGCCCGUGUUCCUCAGGAAGGGAGCUCUGCAGCCCGGCAUCCCGGGACGGAAGGGGCGAGGGUCUCAGCUCAGACCUUCCCUGCUCCCGAAAAAGCCCAGGGCCCUGGUAGGUACGGAGGGAGCCGGAGCCCGUCGCCGGACGAGGCCCCCCACGACUUUCCUCCGUUGGGGAAACUCCAGCGAUGGCAAAAUCUCACACUGCCUGAGUCACCGCGCGGUCAGAGGACACAGCGCGGGACCCGGGAUGGAGCCUCUGGAGGUAUUUCCUACCGAAAAGGCUUUUUUCCCCCCCUGCGUUGCUCAGCUGCGGCAGUGGGCUACGAGUUGAGGAGUCGUCCACGCGGGGAGCCCUGGGCUCGGUAGCCAAAGGGCUGAGCCUCGGCCAGCUCCAGCUUCAGGCCCCGUUGGCGCUGCAGGUGUCCAAGGUCAUCUGACAGUUCCUCAGAUGCGAGUUUUGCUUUGACGCAUCGCCUUUUCCAGUCAAUUAACAAAACAGAAUCACAGACUUUAAAAUCCAUAUAUGUUUACAUAGUGCUGUGGCCAGUAAAUCCCACUCUGAGGUCCCAUGGGUUUCCCAGAGCUUGAUGCAUUUCUAUGUGUAGAAGCAAAAAAACCUAAUUACUAGAGAAAAGUGUUAAAAAUCUGGAUGGACUGCUACAGCUGCACCACGGGCGCAGGGGACAGAUGCGCGGCUGCUGCUCUCGUGCUGUCCCUCGGCACACAAGCGUCGCCGAUACCGGUAUGAAGGAGACCUUCAGACCCCACCGAGCCCCCAGUGAGGAGAGACCACCCGUCUGCUGGCCCCCGGCAGAGCUCAGGCACUGCAGGACUUCACCAGAGAGCCGCUGCCCUGCACAGGUAGGUCUGUGUUUGUCACCCGGGGGUACUGCUCCCUGCUCCGCCGAGGCAGCUCCAGCCCCCUCAGGCUGUUCCUGGAGCUUUUGGCGGGUCUCAUCUUCUUGGGCUCCAGGGACCGGUGGCACCCGCCUGCCUGAUGCCCACGUAGGGCGAACGGGCUCACGCAGGCACCGCCAGAUGCAACCUCCAACCCCACCGUACCCAUAGCUCCCAUGUCAAAAACUGCAGGUGAUGGGAGGAGGGUGGCGGGCAGAAGGCCACCUUGCUGAUGCUGAACCCAUGAGACGAAGGGAGAUUUCAGGAAACUAUAAAAUUAUUGGGGAGUUUAGCGGCACCCUCACCCCCGGAGGAGGUUAUCACAGGGCUGGCACGGUCGGCUGUCGCUUUAUCCAGAUCCCUUGUUGGUGUUUGUCAUAGAAUCGUUUAGGUUGGAAAAGACCUGUAAGAUCAUCAAGUCUAACCGUUCGGUGUGUGUGAAGUUCAGCUUAUCAUUGGAUUGCCGGGUAUCGAUCCAACUUUGCGUUGGGCAAAAAGUCUUGCUGGGACACUGGGAAGUGGGCGAUGGAGGAGCUGGUCGCUGUCAUUUGUUGCUUUUCGUGUGUGACGUUGAGAGAAGAGGUACCAGACGCACCAACCGCUUUCGGGAAGGUUUAGGGUCCGUCGGCAGGACGGAGGGCUGCGUUGGCAGGGGGUGGCUGCGUUGGCGGGGGUAGCUGCGGUGUGCAGCGUGUCGGGGCGCGUAGAUGGACCCAACACACACGACAUGGAGUUUUAGCGACCGUGUGGCGCUGGGUGUGCUCAGCCGGUGGGAGCCUGUGUCCGUCCCGCUGUCCCACUGACCUGCUCCGAGCCAGCCCCCGGGGCUUGUCGCGCGUUCCUGUGCCCGGCUGUGUUUUCUCUGCUCAGAUGAUUAAAAGUCAGGGCUCAGAGGCUGGCAGAACAAAACGCUUUCCUUGAGAUGGCAUUUGCAUUUGAAAGGCAGGAUGGCUGUUCCAGGGACUUCGCUCCUUUGCGAACUUCUCCUGUAGAGUCUCCCGGCUCCCUGCUCGCGGAGCUUAAUUCGGGGCUCCACGCUCUGAUCCCAGCAACCCGCCGCUGGCUGGAGGCCAGCCUUAAUUGUCCUGCCGUGGGGUGGCUGGGAGAGCCCGUCAAGCUGCGCAGGAAUUACAGGGCUCGGAGGAGGGCUGUGAUUUCUGUCCUGCUGCCCCCAGUUCCUGGGAACUCUCCUGGCAGUCAGCGCGCGAUAUGACUCACGCCGGAGGAAGCCAGACCCGCUCGCGCCCGGCGUGCUAUUUCGAUUAAUGGUCAAGAUGCCACAGAGACAGUUUCUAAGUAAAUAACUUGCUUCUUGACGCAGCCUCCCGUCAGCCUCCCAGCCACUGCCCCAGAUGGCUGGAGUGUCCGAGGCGGCCCCUGGGUCGGGAAAGGAAGCGCCGAGUCGCAUGAAUAAUAGAAACGCUGCGGCUGCGGCGUGGUCUGGUGGAGAGAGACCUCCGGGUUGGGGCUGAGGAACGGCUGGGCAGCGGCAAUGUCCCCUCCCGGCACGCGGGUCCAU